CGCAAGCCUGACGGAGCAAGAACGCGUGCGGGAUGACGGCCUAAUGGUUGUAAACCGCUUUUCUCUGGGAAGAUGAUGACGGUACCAGAGGAAUCAGNCUCGGCUAACUCCGUGCCAGCAGCCGCGGUAAUACGGAGGAGGCAAGCGUUAUCCGGAAUUAUUGGGCGUAAAGCGUCCGUAAGUGGUUAUUCAAGUCUGCUGUCAAAGCGUGGGGCUUAACUCCAUAGAGGCAGUGGAAACUGGAUGACUUGAGUGCGGUAGGGGUCGAGGGAAUUCCCAGUGUAGCGGUGAAAUGCGUAGAUAUUGGGAAGAACACCAGUGGCGAAAGCGCUCGACUGGGCCUGCACUGACACUGAGGGACGAAAGCUAAGGGAGCG
rnacentral:rRNA from 1 species